UCCGUAGGCGGUGUGGCAAGUCGGAAGUGAAAUCUCUGGGCUUAACUCAGAGGCUGCUUCCGAAACUGCCGUGCUAGAGUGCGAGAGAGGCAAGUGGAAUUGCGGGUGUAGCGGUGAAAUGCGUAGAUAUCCGCAGGAACAUCCGAGGCGAAAGCGGCUUGCUGGAUCGCAACUGACGCUGAGGGACGAAAGCUAGGGGAGCAAACAGGAUUAGAUACCCUGGUAGUCCUAGCCCUAAACCAUCAGGACUUGGGGUUUGCCCUGUACGGGGCAAGUCCCGUAGCUAACGCGUUAAGUCCUGCGCCUGGGGAGUACGAUCGCAAGGCUGAA
rnacentral:rRNA from 1 species